CAGGAAUGCUGCUUAAGGUCACAGCUGACAUCAACUGCACCAACUACCAUGUGAUCGUUGAGGGAAUGGGAGAUGUUUUCGACAAAAUGACAUUCACCAGGAGGCAGGAGAUGACCAGGGUUCUGGUGGAGCACCUGAAGCAAUUUGCCGUCCGAUACAACAGUCCAGAUUGCAGAAAGGACAUCGGAAACGAUGCUGAGUGGCUUGACAUCAACUUGGGUCUAUUCUCCACGGUGGCCAAUUACUCAGACCUCAAGGAGCUGAACAUCAGUGCGGAA